AUGCCCAAGCGCACCAUGGGAGGGAGGGCCGACGCUGGGGCCGACGCCAUGGUGUCACCUACACCGGAGCAGGUGGCUCCUUCGCCGGAGCAGGUGACUCAUCUGCCACGCCAUCUGCCUCCUCUGCCACGCCAUCUGCCUCCUCUGCCGCAGCCUGUGGUCAACGUCAACGACGAUGACGAAGAAGAAGAGGUAGCUGCUCUGGUUCCUCAGAAGGAGCAGGUGUCUCCUCUGCCGCGGGUGACGCCUCCUGUGCCCGAGCCUGUGGUCGUCGGCGAUGUCAACAAAGAAGACGUAGCUCCGGGUGUUCAUCUGCCGCAGUUUUUGCCUCCCCUGCCCCCACCUGUGGUCGUCGCCGACGAGAACGAAGAAGAGGUUUUCCCUGGUCACUACAAGGCAAAUAAGGUCCUAAGUGACGAUGUUGACAGCGACCCAGAAACCCAGAGGAUCUUCAGGAGGCAAAAAUCGAGGCAGCUGAACAGUGGUGAGCUCGAGAAAGAUGUGAGGCCUAGAUUCGGAAAGGGCUACGGAUGCCCUUUCUGCAACAAGGUGAUGAAAGGCGACCUGUCGAGUACCAUCAACCAUGCAAUCGGAACAUCCCAAGGCAGCACCAAGAAUGGCUACGCUUUCAGGGUGAAGCACGCUGCGUAUGCCGACUACUUGAUGAGGCUUCUUUGA
rnacentral:rRNA from 1 species